rnacentral:rRNA from 1 species
GGGGAAUUUUGGACAAUGGGGGAAACCCUGAUCCAGCCAUGCCGCGUGCAGGAUGAAGGCCUUCGGGUUGUAAAAUGCUUUUGUACGGAACGAAAAGGUCUUUUCUAAUAAAGAAGGCUGAUGACGGUACCGUAAGAAUAAGCACCGGCUAACUACGUGCCAGCAGCCGCGGUAAUACGUAGGGUGCGAGCGUUAAUCGGAAUUACUGGGCGUAAAGCGUGCGCAGGCGGUUAUGCAAGACAGAUGUGAAAUCCCCGGGCUCAACCUGGGAACUGCAUUAGUGACUGCAUAGCUAGAGUGCGGCAGAGGGGGAUGGAACUCCGCGUGUAGCAGUGAAAUGCGUAGAUAUGCGGAGGAACACCGAUGGCGAAGGCAAUCCCCUGGGCCUGCACUGACGCUCAUGCACGAAAGCGUGGGGAGCAAAC